UACAGGGGUCUCAAGCGUUGUUCGGAUUCAUUGGGCGUAAAGGGUGUGUAGGUGGCGCCGUAAGUCGGGUGUGAAAUUUCGGAGCUUAACUCCGAAACUGCAUUCGAUACUGCGGUGCUUGAGGACUGGAGAGGAGACUGGAAUUCAUGGUGUAGCAGUGAAAUGCGUAGAGAUCAUGAGGAAGACCAGUGGCGAAGGCGGGUCUCUGGACAGUUCCUGACACUGAGACACGAAGGCCAGGGGAGCAAACGGG
rnacentral:rRNA from 1 species